AAAUUUAGAUUUCACCCCUGAAGUAUAUGUUUAAAGUACAUGUAGAAAUAAUCAUGUUUGUAACAUUGAGGUUAAAGGACUGGAAAACUGCUUCUGUUGCUAGGACAGUAUGGACAGAUCUCAAAAGUCACAUGGUUUGUGGUUUUAAGGUAUAAAAGACAAAGGUGAAUAAGGGAAGGUUGCCAAUCAGCCUUAAGCUGUCCCUUUUGACAGCUUGUCUGAUUGACCCUCAUUGCAAUGUGAUUAAUGUAAGUGCUUUAUGUUUGUUAUGCUUUAAAUUCUAAUAAACCUCUGAAUUCUAAAGUGAGAUAUUUUGUGGUGUUCUGUCUGUUUAAUUGUUAUUAAGUGUAGCUAUGCUCAUAAUCAGGUUUUUCCCCUGAUGGUGCAUUGGCUGGGAAGAACACGCUGAAAGGGGCCUCACGUCCUGAAGGAGCCCCUGACCAUCUCUGCUUUUGGACUGCUGCUAAUCAGCUGCUCCAUUUUGGACCAGAGGGCAUCGGCAUGUCAAGAUUGAACCAUGUUGCUCUUUUUGAAUCAUAUCACUAUUCAAAUUGCCAUUGAACUGGGGGGUGGGGGGUGGGAGUGUGGAAUGGAAUGUUGAGAUUUUGCAUAUGAAUCACGAGAGCUUGGAAACCAUCAAGGUCACUACUGCAGGUGCCUGAGAAGGAGGUGGAUUAUUCCUUUAACAAAAGGAUGUCUCAUAAUUGGACAAUGUGAACACCCAGGGGUGGGGAGAAAGGGAAGUUAUUGUUUAACUAAGCAAGACUUUGCGCAGGAAAACCAGAACUGAUUUUGAUUCUUCAGUACUGAAAUGGUGUAUCCAAUAAAGUUUUACUUUUGAGAAUUCAU